GGAGAUGGUAUGUCCCGCCCCCCCAGCGGCCGGAGAUGGUACGUCCCGCCCAGUGAGAGCACCAAGAUGGCGGCGGUUGUCUGUGCCCUGCACGCGGCCGCCCUGGCAUGGUAUGUGUUCGGUCUCUGGCAGAAUGUGCAGGUUACCGGCUCCACCCUGGGACACGGGGCUCACACGUAUGGGGGGCGAUGGAAAUACCUGACCUUCAUCAACCAGGUGAGAGCAGGACCCCCUGUGACAUCACCAGAGUGACCUCACCCUGACCCCUGUGACAUCACCAGAGUGACCUCACCCUGACCCCUGUGACAUCACCAGAG